rnacentral:rRNA from 1 species
UACGAAGGUCCCGAGCGUUGUUCGGAAUCACUGGGCGUAAAGGGAGCGUAGGCGGCGCGGUAAGUCGGAUGUGAAAUCCCGGGGCUCAACCCCGGAACUGCAUCUGAUACUGCCGUGCUAGAGUAAUGGAGGGGUAGCUGGAAUUCUCGGUGUAGCAGUGAAAUGCGUAGAUAUCGAGAGGAACACUCGUGGCGAAAGCGAGCUACUGGACAUUUACUGACGCUGAGGCUCGAAGGCCAGGGUAGCGAAAGGG